AUUGAACGCUGGCGGCAGGCCUAACACAUGCAAGUCGAGCGGAUGAGAGAAGCUUGCUUCUCGAUUCAGCGGCGGACGGGUGAGUAAUGCCUAGGAAUCUGCCUGGUAGUGGGGGACAACGUUUCGAAAGGAACGCUAAUACCGCAUACGUCCUACGGGAGAAAGCAGGGGACCUUCGGGCCUUGCGCUAUCAGAUGAGCCUGGGUCGGAUUAGCUAGUUGGUGAGGUAAUGGCUCACCAAGGCGACGAUCCGUAACUGGUCGGAGAGGAUGAUCAGUCACACUGGAACUGAGACACGGUCCAGACUCCUACGGGAGGCAGCAGUGGGGAAUAUUGGACAAUGGGCGAAAGCCUGAUCCAGCCAUGCCGCGUGUGUGAAGAAGGUCUUCGGAUUGUAAAGCACUUUAAGUUGGGAGGAAGGGUUGUAGAUUAAUACUCUGCAAUUUUGACGUUACCGACAGAAUAAGCACCGGCUAACUCUGUGCCAGCCGCCGCCGUAAAAC
rnacentral:rRNA from 1 species